UGCCAGCCGCCGCGGUAAUACGAAGGGACCUAGCGUAGUUCGGAAUUACUGGGCUUAAAGAGUUCGUAGGUGGUUGAAAAAGUUGGUGGUGAAAUCCCAGAGCUUAACUCUGGAACUGCCAUCAAAACUUUUCAGCUAGAGUGUGAUAGAGGUAAGUGGAAUUUCUAGUAUAGAGGUGAAAUUCGUAGAUAUUAGAAAGAACACCAAAUGCGAAGGCAGCUUUCUGGAUCAUUACUGACACUAAGGGACGAAAGCUAGGGGAGCAAACGGGAUUAGAUA
rnacentral:rRNA from 1 species